AUUUAUAUGUGUGGAUCAUUGUGUUUGUAAGGGUGAGUCCCCAGCACGGUUCUGAUCGAGACUCACCCUAAGUACGCGUGCACCAAAAUAUGGAUGAAUUCGUUGUUUUUUUACUGUAUUGAAUUUCUUUAAUAACAUUUGUGUAAAUUCCAAGUAAUAAAUGUAUUCAGUUCUGUAAUAUUUCUUCGUUCUAAGUAAUGAUAUACUGCUGGUGUUAAAUACUUCGUAAAAAGAUUUCAUCGAAUGUGCCGAAAAAGUUGAUCAGUGGAUUUUGUAUCAUUUGAAAUACAUGCAAAAUUAUUUUCUAUUUACAUGGAAUCUAAAACAGUAGGUUGGAAAAUAGUACCAAAUACAGUUACAAACAGGAUGAUAGAUUUUUCUCUGGUACAUAAAUUAAUACCAUCUAGACGACUUCGUCGUAGAUGUAAGGUUAUGAAUACAAUAAUGAAACGACGCUCGUGUUUGAAAACCUACAGCGAGUAUGUUAAAAUUAAAACUACUGUUCUUCGGAAUGUGUCAGAUGACGAAGAAACAGAUAUGAGUGACAAUUUUACUGAAAAUGAUUAUAGCGUUUUUUAUAAAUCUGAUUUAUCUUUUACAAAUUAUAAAUCAAUAAUAUCUAACCAAGAUGACAAUUAUUCUUCUGAAGAAGAAUUUUCAUUUGACGAAAAUUACACUGAUUAUCGUGAAAUAAACGAAAAGCGGAAAAACAGAAGUAAAAAGAAUGUCGAAAGUGGAGAAGAUCAAUGUCUUAAAACUACAAAAUUAGGUUGGCAAGAUGUUAAGAAUAAAAGUAGAAGCAGCUUAAAUACCACGAAAGACAGUAAUACUUCACAUCCAAGCUUAAUUGAAUCUAAAAGAACAAGUGAUCACGCAGAUAUUGAGAAUAAUGUACAAAUGAAAAAUAUUAACAAAGACUCUUUAACUUCUUUGAAAGAAAGUUCUUUGACUCAAGAUAGUGAGAUAUUACAAAAUAACGAACCAUGUGCCAUAGAAAAAGUUUCACAGUCAAACGCUGAAGUAACAAAUUCAAAUGAAAUAAAGCAAGAUAUUACUAAAUUACCAGAAAUUACAGACAACGAUGAGAAACCAGUGGAAAAAGUAAAUCAUGUAAUAAAUAAUGUCAAUGAAGGAUUUCUGUCAAAUGAAAAUCAUCCUGAAAUACUUAAUAGUUCUGACAUGCAAACAAAAGAAAGUAUUAAAAUUAAUUUAACACCUGUAUUAGAUGAUGCCCAUGAGAUAAAGAAUAUCAAUGAUUCCGUUGCAAAUAAAAAGGUAUUUCUGGAUGAAAGUCAUUCUAGUUCAUCAGAGAGAAAUCCAAGUGAACCUGAAAUACCUAUGGCUACAUAUAAAAAUAAUAAUAAGGUUUUGAAAAUUCAAGGUUCAGUUCUUGGCAGUACAAAUCAACCAAAAGAUUCAGGGAUUGAAGAAGACACUGAAGAGGAGAUUUUGGAUAAUAAGUAUAAGAAGCAUAAAAAAGAAAGAAAGAAAAUUCAGAAAACUGAACAAGAUACACAAUCUACACCUUCAAUUUCUAAUCAAGAAGACAAUCCUGUUACACAAACAGAUUUACCAAUUAUUAAUGAUCAUCUGUUAGUUGAAGAUCAUAAUAUAUUGAGUAACACAGAUCAUAAAAAUACAACAGUGGCACUUGAUGACAAUAUAAUUAAUAGUAGCAAAAAUCAAGAAAAAACACCGAAACAGAAACCACAGCCUACAGUUACUUGUACAGAAAUUAUGAACAGAAAAUAUAAAAUAAUAUCGUGCGAUACAGCUUUAUUGAAUAACUCUCCAAAUUCAGAAUUAAGUUUAAGUGAUUUUCAUAGAAGAAAAGGAUUUGAAAUAGAGGAACCAGAACAAAAUAUAGAAGAUAGUAUUUCACCUUUGACGAAAAAACGCUUGCAGCAAUUAAGAAGAUUAAAUUUAACUAUAGAAAGUGAAUCUGGACUUAGUGAAGAUGAUAAUACUUCUUGGAAUACCAAAAAUAUGAGGGAUAAUUUACUUAGGCGUUCUAGAGAAUCUCCUGAUAUGUCAGACAGUGAAGAUAAAAAUGUAAAAUCUAAGCUACCAAUACUAAUUCAAUCUGAUAAGAAACUGCAGAAGAAUGAAAAUUCUAGAGGAGAAGAUUAUAAAAAAGGAAGUACUUUGCAAUCAAUUAACAAAAGUGAAAAACAUAUGAAGCAUAAAAAAAAAAAGAAAAGUAAAAAGAGCAAAAAUAAUGAGUAUGUAGACUCAUUAGGGUUUACAGAAUUUAAUAAGUGCAAUAGUGAUAAAUGCAUAACUGAUUGUACUAUUAAAAGUGAAACAGAUUUGAAUUCAGUAGAAACAUAUUGUCAAGAUGGUUAUCCAGAUGAAAGCACUUCAGAGCAAAAUUCAUCUAUUAAUGAUAGUUCAUUUCAUUACAAUAGAAUGGAAGAAGAAUUCAAUGAUGAAAAUCAAUUGGUUGGAAAUAUGAAAAAAGUCUUAAAUGAGAAGAAAACAAUAAUGCACGAUAGACCAUGCAAUUUGCAGGAAUUGAUAAAUAAGGACAACUUGAUUCAUCGACCAGUAAAACCCUCUUUCACAUUUAAAGAUAUAUAUGAGGAUGACAUCUAUAUUUUAGACAUUCCAGCUACGGCAUUUGACAAUCAGUUACUAGGGAAGAAAAUAAUUUUAACAGAAAAAAAAUUAAAACUUGGAAAGCAGAAAUAUAAGGUUGAAUUUAAAGAUGUAGGCAGUAUUUCUUGCGUUUUUGGCAAGAAAAGUCCUAACAAACUAUAUAAAACAGUUAACAUUAAACCAACAGCGAGAAUAAUAGCGCGCCAGAAAAUAAUUAGGACACCUCUUCUGAAAACUAAAAAUCAGUAUCUCGAUGAAAGUAAUUGUACCGAAGAUGAUAGCCAGAUCGAAGAAAACGAAACUUCAACAAGUAGACAUAUUGAAAUGAAGAACGAAAUACCGUUUAAGAAAAGACGGUACAAUUUCGUAUAAUAAGCGAAAUAUAAAUAUUGUACAAAGCAGUAGGAAUAAAAUGAACAGACUAUCGUUUUAUAAAAAAAAUCAACAAUGUGUCAUAAGCACAUGAUCACUAUCGACUAUUGCCGAUUGUUACCGACUGACUCCAAACGGAAGUAACAUAACCAAAUGUACAAUGCAUACACACAUAUAUAUACACCUGUAUAUACACUAAAAUCGUGUCGAUCUGUUUGACUCAUACUUGAUACUGUAUAGUGAUAUAAACAUAUGUUUAAAUAAACCUGAUUGUAAAUUUUAAA